rnacentral:snRNA from 1 species
AACCUUGCGCAGUGGCAAUAUCGUAACCAAUGAAGGCCUCCUGAGGUGCGAUUAUUGCUAGUUGAAAACUUUUACCAACAACCAAAAUAUUAAGAUGGUCCCUGGUAAUAAAAAAGGUUUGGGAC